AAAUAAAUCAAAACUUUCAACAACGGAUCUCUUGGUUCUGGCAUCGAUGAAGAACGCAGCAAAAUGCGAUAAGUAAUGUGAAUUGCAGAAUUCAGUGAAUCAUCGAAUCUUUGAACGCACAUUGCGCCUGCCAGUAUUCUGGCGGGCAUGCCUGUUCGAGCGUCAUUUCAACCCUCAAGCACAGCUUGGUGUUGGGACUCGCGUUAAUUCGCGUUCCCCAAAUUGAUUGGCGGUCACGUCGAGCUUCCAUAGCGUAGUAGUAAAACCCUCGUUACUGGUAAUCGUCGCGGCCACGCCGUUAAACCCCAACUUCUGAAUGUUGACCUCGGAUCAGGUAGAAUACCCGCUGAACUUAAGCAUAUCAAUA
rnacentral:rRNA from 1 species